rnacentral:rRNA from 1 species
AGUGAACGCUGGCGGUAGGCCUAACACAUGCAAGUCGAACGGCAGCACAGGAGAGCUUGCUCUCUGGGUGGCGAGUGGCGGACGGGUGAGGAAUACAUCGGAAUCUACUCUGUCGUGGGGGAUAACGUAGGGAAACUUACGCUAAUACCGCAUACGACCUACGGGUGAAAGCAGGGGACCUUCGGGCCUUGCGCGAUUGAAUGAGCCGAUGUCGGAUUAGCUAGUUGGCGGGGUAAAGGCCCACCAAGGCGACGAUCCGUAGCUGGUCUGAGAGGAUGAUCAGCCACACUGGAACUGAGACACGGUCCAGACUCGUACGGGGGGCAGCGGUGGGUAAUAUUGGACAAUGGGCGCAAGCCUGAUCCAGCCAUACCGCGUGGGUGAAGAAGGCCUUCGGGUUGUAAAGCCCUUUUGUUGGGAAAGAAAUCCAGCUGGCUAAUACCCGGUUGGGAUGACGGUACCCAAAGAAUAAGCACCGGCUAACUUCGUGCCAGCCGCCACGGUAA